AUGAACGCUGGCGGCGUGCCUAAUACAUGCCAGUCGAGCUAACAGACGAGGAGCUUGCUCCUCUGACGUUAGCGGCGGACGGGUGAGUAACACGUGGAUAACCUACCUAUAAGACUGGGAUAACUUCGGGAAACCGGAUCUAAUACCGGAUAAUAUAUUGAACCGCAUGGUUCAAUAGUGAAAGCCGGUUUUGCUGUCACUUAUAGAUGGAUCCGCGCCGCAUUAGCUAGUUGGUAAGGUAACGGCUUACCAAGGCGACGAUGCGUAGCCGACCUGAGAGGGUGAUCGGCCACACAGGAACUGAGACACGGUCCAGACUCCUACGGGAGGCAGCAGUAGGGAAUCUUCCGCAAUGGGCGAAAGCCUGGCGGAGCAACGCCGCGCGAGUGAUGAAAAUCUUCGGAUCGUAAAACUCUGUUAUUAGGGAAGAACAAAUGUGUAAGUAACUAUGCACGACUUGACGGUACCUAAUCAGAAAGCCACGGCUAACUACGUG
rnacentral:rRNA from 1 species